rnacentral:misc_RNA from 1 species
CAUUACACCCCUCGAGCUCAGCUCGGUAUUGAGGGAAUCGCCCCCCCGGGCGCCCUCGAAAUUUAGCGGUGACUUGGUUGGUCUUCGAGCGAAUAAAACUGUCACAUGUUCCGCUCUCGAAGACUCGAGCAUGUCGGCCGGACAAAACUACAUCAUCUAUGAUUGACCUCGGAUCAGGUAGGGAUACCCGCUGAACUUAA